CUCUCUGAGAGUGUUACUGUGCUUAAUAAGUCUCUUGCUGCUUUGCUACAUGUGUGUGUGUCACUUCCAAUUCUUUGUUAAAGACACCAAGAACCUGGGACUUCACAACACCAGCCGGUAACAAAGGAGAAGAUAGUCAUUGGACAAAAGUCCACAGGUCGAGAGGAACCAUACUUGAAGAAACAUACCUGAAGGGUUUCAUCCAUAUGUGGGCCUGAUUUGGAUGAUAAAAUCCUGCAUCUUGAGCCUGAUCUUGAUGCUGCCUGUGUUCUGAUGCCAUCAGGAGUUGAGAGUCUAGGGGUUUUAGAAAGGGUGAAUGUAUUUUCCCAUAGGCAAGGAACAUAAUCAAUGGCCAAAAUGUGCACUGUGACAGAUUAAAGGUUGCUACAAAUUCUCUGAUACCCUUCCAUUAAGAGGUAGGGCAGAUAUUCCCUCCCCUCAAAUCUGGGUGGGCUCCAUGACUUGCUUUGAUCAACAGAAAACGGCAGCAGUGAUGCUGGGCCAGUUGUUGGAUCCAGGCCUUAAGAACCAACAACUUCCACUUAAGUUCUCUUGGAACACUGAGUCCCUGACUACCCUAAUAUCAUGUUGGAAAGGCUACAUGUAGGCACUCUAGUUGCCAGUCCCAGCCAAGACCAGCUUUUCAGCCAUCCCCAUCACUAAAUUUGUAAAUGAAGCCAUCUGGAAUCUCCAGACCAGCUCAUUUGGCAGCUGGGUAUCAUCAAGUUAUCUCUGCUGACUCCACAUGGAACAAAGGAAUCACCCAGCUGAGCCCUAUUCAAACUAUUGACCAAAAAAAUAGUGAGACAUAAUAAAAUGAUGUUUUAAGCCAGU
rnacentral:lncRNA from 1 species